rnacentral:misc_RNA from 1 species
UUUUUUGAAAAAUUUGUAAAGUUUAUGAAAUGAGUAGAUAUUGAUAGAUACAAAUAAAAUUAAGAGACACAAUUAUACAAUAAGUAUAAAUACAUAAAAUUAGAUGUUAUGUUGUAAUUAAUAAUGUAUUUUGAUAAAAUUAAUUCUAAAAAAUAGUUCAAAUUAAAAAGUAUUAUUAGGGUAAUGGUAGUUACCGUUACUUAACAGUAGUAACGGCCGUUACCCAUGCAAAUCAAAAUAUGCCUUUAAAUAACAGCGUAACCGGUAACAAUCCAUCUAAAAACCUGUAAAUAAGGGCCGUUAUUUAAAAACAUGAUGGCCAUAUUGAAAAUAAAAGUAUUUCUAUUUAAUCAUAAGUCGGAAUCAUUAUCCAACCAUAACAUAUAUAGAAGCUUCCUAGAUUACAAACCAAAGACGUUGUCACUAAUAUUAUAAUGGAUGCUAAGAUAAAAUAUCUUCUCAAAUGCAUAUAGAAGGAACUUCAUGGCAACAUACAAAUAGCUAAAUUAUAGUGGAGUAUUCAUUGGGAAUAAAAUUAGUUAAUACCAUGCUCAUCACUAAACAUUAUUAUUAAUAACCUUCUUACAGUAAAGCUUGAAGUUAAUGAACUUAGACCUAUGUUGAAUUUAUUAUAAGCACAUCACAAAACAUUAUAGUGAAUAAUUUAACUCAAACAACUAGACCAUCAUGCUAGGCGACUUCCAACCACAUAAAGUUCAUACAUAUCAUACUACAUAGCCCUUCUACUGUAUUUGAUCUUGUAUCCAGAUGCUUUUGGAAGGUCGAAAGCUAUUAGGGCAAUUUUUUAACUAAUAUGUUUUCCAAACAUUUUACAUGCGCAUUAAAUUUAGAAUGUUGCAAAUUAGUGAAGCGUAAAACAAUAAGAUUGCUCAAAUCACCAAGUUCAUUGAUAUAGUGCAAAAAAGAUGCUGAAAUCUGAAUAUGAUCCAGAUACACUUACCUUUCUUCACACGUACAAACUUGC